GAAGUGCUGUUUAAAUUCGAACUUUUUAUUUAAUUUGGCAAUGUGUGCGAGUUACACGUCUCGAAUUUCGAUCAGGUUCGAUUUUAACCGGCUUAAA